GUUCGACCACCCCCUUCCCUUUUUCCUUGCAGUUCCGCCACCGCAAAACCACAUCACUGUCGCCUCCUCUCCGGCCUGGUUCCGUGCCUUUGCGCCGCCCAUACCUCCGGUCACCACCUCCCUCUUUUCCUCCCUGCUCCUCCGCGUGCCCUCCUCCCCUGCUUCCCCUGUUCCUUCGUGUUCUGUUUCCCUCAAAGGAAACGAGUUCCAGUAAUUGGAACUUUGUUUUGUUGCUCAAGUUAAGCCCACAUUCCCUUGGCCCAAAUUCCCAAAAAAUCGAACUCGGAGCUCAGGAAUAACGAUCCAUCGAACAGGAAGUAUAAACUACGGUUGAGGUACGAAGAAGAUCAUGGGAUGCCUUAGAGUGAGGAUGCAACCAUCAAAUUCACGAUCGAUGUUUAGUAGAGACAAUUAUGUCAUUAGUAAUAAAGGGAUGUAUUAAUUAAACUCUAAGUUUGAUCUCAUGAUUUGAGUUAGAUUUUAAUACUAAUAUUAA